rnacentral:rRNA from 1 species
GAUUAAGUUAUUAAGGGCGCACGGUGGAUGCCUUGGCACUAGAAGCCGAUGAAGGACGUUACUAACGACGAUAUGCUUUGGGGAGCUGUAAGUAAGCUUUGAUCCAGAGAUUUCCGAAUGGGGAAACCCAGCAUGAGUUAUGUCAUGUUAUCGAUAUGUGAAUACAUAGCAUAUCAGAAGGCACACCCGGAGAACUGAAACAUCUUAGUACCCGGAGGAAGAGAAAGAAAAUUCGAUUCCCUUAGUAGCGGCGAGCGAAAUGGGAAGAGCCCAAACCAACAAGCUUGCUUGUUGGGGUUGUAGGACACUCUAUACGGAGUUACAAAGGACGACAUUAGACGAAUCAUCUGGAAAGAUGAAUCAAAGAAGGUAAUAAUCCUGUAGUCGAAAAUGUUGUCUCUCUUGAGUGGAUCCUGAGUACGACGGAGCACGUGAAAUUCCGUCGGAAUCUGGGAGGACCAUCUCCUAAGGCUAAAUACUCUCUAGUGACCGAUAGUGAACCAGUACCGUGAGGGAAAGGUGAAAAGCACCCCGGAAGGGGAGUGAAAUAGAACCUGAAACCGUGUGCUUACAAGUAGUCAGAGCCCGUUAAUGGGUGAUGGCGUGCCUUUUGUAGAAUGAACCGGCGAGUUACGAUUUGAUGCAAGGUUAAGCAGUAAAUGUGGAGCCGUAGCGAAAGCGAGUCUGAAUAGGGCGUUUAGUAUUUGGUCGUAGACCCGAAACCAGGUGAUCUACCCUUGGUCAGGUUGAAGUUCAGGUAACACUGAAUGGAGGACCGAACCGACUUACGUUGAAAAGUGAGCGGAUGAACUGAGGGUAGCGGAGAAAUUCCAAUCGAACCUGGAGAUAGCUGGUUCUCUCCGAAAUAGCUUUAGGGCUAGCCUCAAGUGAUGAUUAUUGGAGGUAGAGCACUGUUUGGACGAGGGGCCCCUCUCGGGUUACCGAAUUCAGACAAACUCCGAAUGCCAAUUAAUUUAACUUGGGAGUCAGAACAUGGGUGAUAAGGUCCGUGUUCGAAAGGGAAACAGCCCAGACCACCAGCUAAGGUCCCAAAAUAUAUGUUAAGUGGAAAAGGAUGUGGCGUUGCCCAGACAACUAGGAUGUUGGCUUAGAAGCAGCCAUCAUUUAAAGAGUGCGUAAUAGCUCACUAGUCGAGUGACACUGCGCCGAAAAUGUACCGGGGCUAAACAUAUUACCGAAGCUGUGGAUUGUCCUUUGGACAAUGGUAGGAGAGCGUUCUAAGGGCGUUGAAGCAUGAUCGUAAGGACAUGUGGAGCGCUUAGAAGUGAGAAUGCCGGUGUGAGUAGCGAAAGACGGGUGAGAAUCCCGUCCACCGAUUGACUAAGGUUUCCAGAGGAAGGCUCGUCCGCUCUGGGUUAGUCGGGUCCUAAGCUGAGGCCGACAGGCGUAGGCGAUGGAUAACAGGUUGAUAUUCCUGUACCACCUAUAAUCGUUUUA